GACGAACGCUGGCGGCGUGCCUAAUACAUGCAAGUAGAACGCACAGUUUAUACCGUAGCUUGCUACACCAUAAACUGUGAGUUGCGAACGGGUGAGUAACGCGUAGGUAACCUGCCUGGUAGCGGGGGAUAACUAUUGGAAACGAUAGCUAAUACCGCAUAAUAUUCAUUAUUGCAUGAUAAUUGAUUGACAUAUGCAAUUGCAUCACUACCAGAUGGACCUGCGUUGUAUUAGCUAGUAGGUGAGGUAACGGCUCACCUAGGGGACGAUACAUAGCCGACCUGAGAGGGUGAUCGGCCACACUGGGACUGAGACACGGCCCAGACUCCUACGGGAGGCAGCAGGAGGGAAUCUUCGGGAAUGGACGGAAGUCUGACCGGGGAACGCCGCGGGAGGGAAGAAGGUUUUCGGAUCGUAAAGAUCUGUUGUAAGGGAAGAAAGGGUGUGAGAGUGGAAAGUUCACACUGUGACGGUAUCUGACCAGAAAGGGACGGCUAACUACGUG
rnacentral:rRNA from 1 species